rnacentral:rRNA from 1 species
UGGGGAAUAUUGGACAAUGGGCGAAAGCCUGAUCCAGCCAUGCCGCGUGAGUGAUGAAGGCCCUAGGGUUGUAAAGCUCUUUCAACGGUGAAGAUAAUGACGGUAACCGUAGAAGAAGCCCCGGCUAACUUCGUGCCAGCAGCCGCGGUAAUACGAAGGGGGCUAGCGUUGUUCGGAAUUACUGGGCGUAAAGCGCACGUAGGCGGAUUGUUAAGUGAGGGGUGAAAUCCCAGGGCUCAACCCUGGAACUGCCUUUCAUACUGGCGAUCUUGAGUUCGAGAGAGGUGAGUGGAAUUCCGAGUGUAGAGGUGAAAUUCGUAGAUAUUCGGAGGAACACCAGUGGCGAAGGCGGCUCACUGGCUCGAUACUGACGCUGAGGUGCGAAAGCGUGGGGAGCAAACAGG